CCUACCACGCCGACGCUAGAAAUCCCUUGCGCGCUGCUGAACAGACAGGCAGCUCAGCUGACAGGCAGCAGUUGUUUUAAAAGGAGAAACAAAGGAAUUUCCUACUGUUGCUGCAAGAAUAUUGCGUUAUGAAAAGCUGGUCAAUUUGGCUGGAUUACACAUCUGCUGCUGCAGUCAUAUUUACAGACAAUGGCCUGGUUUUGUUUUCAAUAUGUCUGGAAUCAGCCUGUCAGCACAUUUAAUACUAUUUGUUGCAACGUGCAGGACCCAAGCACCAACGUCCCACUAGACGCCAUAAUGUUUACUACCGAUGGCUUGGGGUCACCGAUGUCUCCUUAGAUGAUGUGCAUGGAUUCUUCAGUUUACAUAAAUACAGCAAAUGGUCUUUGGGGGGGAAAAAAAGAACAAAAGCUUUAAUUAAAAUAAUUUAAUAUACUA